CAAAUCCCAAUUAUCUCUCUCCUCGACCUUUCUUGUUUCCCGGAUAAAAAAGGAGCUAUCUUUUUCCCGGAUAAAUUUCUUAGAAAUUGAUUUGAAAUAAUUUGAGAAAGUUGAGGAAUUAGAGAGAAUUGGAGAGAUUUCGGAGUGUAUUUUAAGCAUCCACAAAUCUCAUAUCUCCUCAUAAGAUUUCGAGCGAAUUGAAUCAAAAUUUUAUAUGAAAUAUCUACAAAUUAAUUAAACUCUAUAAAAAUCCAUUAAAGUCUCUCAAAUUCUCAAUUGAAUACACCCUCCUAAGUGAGAUUUUCUGAAUAAUUUUCUGUUGUGUUUGUGGAUUUUGGUUUAAUUAUAUUUUCUUGGUCAACGAUUCUAGCUUAUUGCAUCAUUUAUUGACUAUUUUCUGUUGUUUAUGUGUUUCGAUUGGAUUAAUGGGUGAUUAAGGUGAUUCCAGUAGUAGAUUGUAUUGAAUUUUGAGUUAUUACCUAUUUAUCUUUGUGUGAUAAGUUGUGGGAAUUAAGAUAUUGCUUGAAAGUAAUUUUGUUGAAUUGAAGCAAAUUUUUUUGGCUAUGGCGGCGACCCCGCCAUUGGGUUUGUUUUGAUUGUAAAAAUAGUGAUUAAAAGGGUUGGAAAUGUGAUUGUCAAAGAAUUAAACAGAGAGGAUACACAUUAGGUUCAGAUGUUUUUGGGACACUUUUUCGGUUCAAUGGCACUGAAUCUUGGGGUUUUCUAUGCUACGUUCGAUGUUAUUCUGUUUGUAGGAAGAAAGAGGGAAAAGAAAAAACAUGCAUUUUUGUGAUCAGGAUAUCGUUCUCAUAAUGUUGACAUAUGCAGGAUCCUAGAGAAGAAGUCAUCCAAGCAUGGUACAUGGAUGAUAGUGAUGAAGACCAGAGGCUCCCCCAUCACAAGGAGCCCAAGGAAUUUGUAUCCCUGGACCAACUUGCCG
rnacentral:lncRNA from 1 species